CAAGAAAAGGUCAGGAUAG
rnacentral:tRNA from 4 species